GAUGAACGCUGGCGGCGCGCCUAACACAUGCAAGUCGAACGAUUAAAGCACCUUCGGGUGUGUAUAAAGUGGCGAACGGCUGAGUAACACGUGGGCAACCUGCCCCUUUCAUUGGGAUAGCCACGGGAAACCGUGGAUAAUACCGAAUACUUCGAGACUUCCGCAUGGAAGACUCGAGAAAGCUCCGGCGGAGAGGGAUGGGCCCGCGGCCUGUUAGCUUGUUGGUGGGGUAACGGCCUACCAAGGCAAUGAUGGGUAGCUGGGUUGAGAGACCGACCAGCCAGAUUGGGACUGAGACACGGCCCAGACUCCUACGGGAGGCAGCAGUGGGGAAUCUUGCACAAUGGGCGAAAGCCCGAUGCAGCGACGCCGCGUGCGGGAUGAAGGCCUUCGGGUUGUAAACCGCUUUCAGCAGGGACGAGGCGAAAGUGACGGUACCUGCAGAAGAAGCCCCGGCUAACUACGUG
rnacentral:rRNA from 1 species